GUUUCCUAGAUAUUUCCAACAAUUGGGUUUUUUUUUGGUAAAUUUGUGUUUUGUUCCUUUAUCUUGUGUACAUUUUUGCUUUCUAUUGUCUCUUUUCAAUCACCUUGUUAGCCUGUUUUUACUCUUAUCUUGUACUCAUUUCUUAAUUAAUGAGAAAUGUUGUUUCCUUUAUAAGAUAUAGAUUUUCCAUAUUAUUGCUAAAGCUCAUUUCUGUCCUUGAUUAAUCUAAAUCUGGUUUCCCUUUUAUAAAAUUUCUAUGCAGACUAGCACACAAGAAUUUUGUGAUAUAUUCCCCUUGCUUUAUGAUAAUGUUUUGACUUAAAGUUAAUUCUGUAAUGAUGCUAAGUACAGUAUUUUUGCCUCUAUAUUAUUCUUAAAGGCCAUUACUGCUUUGAAGAAAGGAGCCUACUUGCUCAAGUAUGGAAGAAGGGGGAAGCCAAAGUUUUGUCCUUUCCGACUUUCCAAUGUGAGGGAUAAAACUUGGCCGGAAAGUACCUAUUGCAAGUAUGGACAAUAGUGGAAAGAUAACAUGGGCUAAGCAUAAUGAAAUUCAAACAGUAAACAUCAAAAGUGUGGGAGCAGACUUUGAGGUUACUGAUGGAGAGAGAUUGCCUUUAGCUGUUAAGGAGAUGGGAACUUGUGAUCUUUAUCCUCAAUGCUGUGAAGUGCUGGAAGUGCUGUGAAGUGCUGGAAUUAUCGUGGGAAGUGCUGUCAAUUUCGUGGGAAGUGCUGGAAUUAUCGUAUUGAAAUAUACGGGGCCCUUCGCAUGUUUGUGAAAAUGCAUUUAAUGUGGAAUUCCAAAAUACUUAUAGACGGCGGAGACAAUGAAAUUGUGGCAACAUCUCUGCUUGAGGCCAGUAAUUUAUUGGUUCUCAAGGCUGCACCGGUGGAGUGGGUAGGGACAUUUUUUCUUUGCGCUACUUAUGCUUACGUUGGACUACAAUAAGCUUUACUUUUCAGCUUAUUGUGUUGAUGUUGCUUAUUUCUUUAUAGAUUGAUAUUGGUUUUCAAGCGACCGUUGAAAAUUGAAGACUGAGAAGGCAUUUAGGUUUUUUAAUUAUUUAAUUCUUGUAUUAGAAUCUUUUUUCAUGUACUAUUGUAGAAUGUAUAUAUAAACAUAAUAUUAAUAUUUUAUUUUGUGUAUUCAAAUGUAAAAGACAAAUGUUAUAGUUUCUAACAUAAUAUGAAUUUCAUUGAUUUGUUGGCGUGUGAAAAA